UUAAAUUGAAGAGUUUGAUCAUGGCUCAGAUUGAACGCUGGCGGCAGGCCUAACACAUGCAAGUCGAACGGUAACAGGAAGCAGCUUGCUGCUUCGCUGACGAGUGGCGGACGGGUGAGUAAUGUCUGGGAAACUGCCUGAUGGAGGGGGAUAACUACUGGAAACGGUAGCUAAUACCGCAUAACGUCGCAAGACCAAAGAGGGGGACCUUCGGGCCUCUUGCCAUCGGAUGUGCCCAGAUGGGAUUAGCUUGUUGGUGGGGUAACGGCUCACCAAGGCGACGAUCCCUAGCUGGUCUGAGAGGAUGACCAGCCACACUGGAACUGAGACACGGUCCAGACUCCUACGGGAGGCAGCAGUGGGGAAUAU
rnacentral:rRNA from 1 species